GACUUUCGUUAACAUUCAGAGUUCUGACGACGUCAUCUUGAUGUCAGCAUCACGCUAAAAACGAAAAAAGGAAUUUUUUAAGUUGGAUUUUGAGACUAAUGGAGAAAAUCCAAUGAGGAUUCGGUUCAGAUUUGCAGAUAAGGGGCAGUUUUUUUUUAGCAAAGUCAAAAGAAGAUGUAAAUAAUGCUGUUUUUGCGUGCGUGGGUUGGUGUGUGCUUGUGUCCUCCAGCCCUCGGCCCUCUUCUCCGCGCCCUAAAUAUACUGCAGCCCCUUCCACCAGCUGCUGUCUGCGUCUCUAAUUAUAGCCUCUGCAGGCCAAGACCGGGGGUCCGGUUUCCCCUUCCCACUGCGCUUAAACCGGGCCUCCAAAACAGGUUCUGACAGGACUUCAGAACUCGCACGGGGCUCAACUAGUGAUUAAUUCGCCGAUUCCCUCCUCAGCGGCGCGCACUAAAGCGUGAAGACGUGUCCACUGAAGGAGGUGCGAGGAGAAGAAGCGUGAAGACGCGGGACACAAAAAACGUCCACCUGAGAAUUAUCCUGGACAACAUCACCAAGAGCAACUUUGACAUUAACAACAACAACAAGACUCCAAAGAUCUGUUGAUCUGUUUACUGGUUUCCUCCCACUUUCUCCGGUGGGGGAGGUUCUGUGUAUUUUUGGAAGCGGCUUGCGAUCCGGCUUAA